AACACAAAAUGCCAAAACAUUUGGCAGCUGGAUUAAAGGAGGAGGACAUGAAGUACAGACCAGCAGGUCUUCUUUCAGCUGCUGCUUCUUUUGGCUGCUCCCGUUAGAGCAGGGGUCCCCAAUCUCAGUCCACGAGGGCCGGUGUCCUGCAGGUUUUAGAUCUCACCCUGGGUCAACACACCUGAAUCAAAUGAUUAGUUCAUUAGCAGGCCUCUGGAGAACUUCAAGACACGUUGAGGAGGUAAUUUAGCCAUUUAAAUCAGCUGUGCUAGAUCAAGGACACAUCUAAAACCUAACUCAUCAUCUGCCUCCAUCUCACCCUGUCCUAAACGUUUUCCUCUGUCACACCAACCUUCUGCAUCUCCUCCAUCACUCCAUCGAUGAACCUCAUCUGUGGUCUUUGUAUCCGCAUGUGUCAAAGAUUUUAUGCCGGAUGCUCUUCCUGACGUACUUCUGCCCUUUUAUCUGGGUGUAGCACUGACACUAGGAGUACACUGGCUUGUGGCCGCUCCUGUGGAUGGCUUGAAUGAAUUUGGACAAAACAUAAAAAAGCAAACUAAAAAAGGUAAUCAUUCACCUUGAUGAAGAAAACGAGAGGCCGCAGGAAAGGAAAAUCUGUCUGGAAACAUUUGUUGCAUCUCAACAUUUAUGCAGCCUGCUGAGAGAAACACUUGUUACUCAUUUAUCCUUGUUUAAACAUGAAGGUGCACACAGAGACAAGUACAAAGUACACUUAAAGGACCAAAAGUAAUGAGAGGUGAUAAAAAAUAUCACUAUUACAUUGCAGUGGGUCAGUCUGGACUUGAUUUUAAAUACUGGGUAUUGUAAUACAUUAAAAUUGUCAAUGUUGUUACACCUUAUUUUCCUGUGUUUGGGUUGAUUACCUAACGGUUACUAAACCUCUGAAAUAUAUGUAUAUUUGGCUCUAAAUUGUAAUGGACCAUAAGCAUCAUUGACACUGUAUGUUGGUACAGAUAGAGUACAUCGAACAUUUUCUAAUGAGAGCG
rnacentral:lncRNA from 1 species